GAUGAACGCUGGCGGCGUGCCUAAUACAUGCAAGUCGAGCGAACAGAUGAGGAGCUUGCUCCUCUGACGUUAGCGGCGAACGGGUGGGUAACACGUGGAUAACCUACCUAUAAGACUGGGAUAACUUCGGGAAACCGGAGCUAAUACCGGAUAAUAUAUUGAACCGCAUGGUUCAAUAGUGAAAGACGGUUUUGCUGUCACUUAUAGAUGGAUCCGCGCCGCAUUAGCUAGUUGGUAAGGUAACGGCUUACCAAGGCAACGAUGCGUAGCCGACCUGAGAGGGUGAUCGGCCACACUGGAACUGAGACACGGUCCAGACUCCUACGGGAGGCAGCAGUAGGGAAUCUUCCGCAAUGGGCGAAAGCCUGACGGAGCAACGCCGCGUGAGUGAUGAAGGUCUUCGGAUCGUAAAACUCUGUUAGUAGGGAAGAACAAAUGUGUAAGUAACUAUGCACGUCUUGACGGUACCUAAUCAGAAAGCCACGGCUAACUACGUG
rnacentral:rRNA from 1 species